UACAUACGGAUAUUUGUUCCAUAUCGGUCAUUACAUUUUCCUGAUUAUAACUUGGAGCGGUAUUUGAACGGCAAUUAUAUAAUAAAAUAAAAAAAUAAGUGGCGCGUUGCGUGAUCUUGGAGUUCGUGCAAGGAUCGACAGAUAUCACUAAAAUAUUCCGCUUCCCGGUCUGCAAAGAAGAAAAAAAAAUGGAUUUAGUUGCAUAUCCCAUAAAUUACGAAUGAAG